rnacentral:rRNA from 1 species
UGCAGUCGUGCGAGAAAGUAUCUUCGGAUAUGAGUAGAGCGGCGGACGGGUGAGUAACGCGUAGGAAUCUACCUAGUAGAAGGGGAUAGCCCGGGGAAACUCGGAUUAAUACCGUAUACCUCCUUUGGGAGAAAGAAGGCCUCUCUUUGAAGCUUUCGCUACUAGAUGAGCCUGCGUAAGAUUAGCUUGUUGGUGAGGUAAAGGCUCACCAAGGCGACGAUCUUUAGCGGGUCUGAGAGGACGAUCCGCCACAUUGGGACUGAGACACGGCCCAGACUCCUACGGGAGGCAGCAGUGGGGAAUAUUGGACAAUGGGCGCAAGCCUGAUCCAGCCAUACCGCGUGUGUGAAGAAGGCCCUAGGGUUGUAAAGCACUUUAAGUUGGGAAGAAAAGUUAUUGGUUAAUACCCAAUAACCGUGACAUUACCUUCAGAAUAAGGACCGGCUAAUUCCGUGCCAGCAGCCGCGGUAAUACGGAAGGUCCAAGCGUUAAUCGGAAUUACUGGGCGUAAAGCGCGCGUAGGUGGUUUAUUAAGUUGGAUGUGAAACCCCCGGGCUCAACCUGGGAACUGCAUCCAAAACUGAUUCACUAGAGUACGAUAGAGGGAGGUAGAAUUCACAGUGUAGCGGUGGAAUGCGUAGAUAUUGUGAAGAAUACCAAUGGCGAAGGCAGCCUCCUGGAUCUGUACUGACACUAAGGUGCGAAAGCGUGGGUAGCGAACAGGAUUAGAUACCCUGGUAGUCCACGCCGUAAACGAUGUCAACUAGCUGUUGGGAAACUAUGUUUUUCAGUGGCGCAGCUAACGU